rnacentral:misc_RNA from 1 species
AAAGUCGUAACAAGGUCUCCGUUGGUGAACCAGCGGAGGGAUCAUUACCGAGUUUUCAACUCCCAAACCCCAAUGUGAACCAUACCUCACCGUUGCCUCGGCGGGAUCGCCCCGGGUGCGUCGCAGCCCCGGGCCAAGGCGCCCGCCGGAGGAAAACCAAACUCUUUUGUUUGUAUAUCACUUCUGAGCUUAUCAGACGCUCUCCGGAGCGGACGAAUGAAUCAAAACUUUCAACAACGGAUCUCUUGGUUCUG